rnacentral:rRNA from 1 species
GACGAACGCUGGCGGCGUGCUUAACACAUGCAAGUCGAACGGUAAGGCCCUUCGGGGUACACGAGUGGCGAACGGGUGAGUAACACGUGGGUGAUCUGCCCUGCACUUCGGGAUAAGCCUGGGAAACUGGGUCUAAUACCGGAUAGGACCACUGCCUACAUGGGUGGUGGGGGAAAGCUUUUGCGGUGUGGGAUGGGCCCGCGGCCUAUGAGCUUGUUGGUGGGGUGAUGGCCUACCAAGGGGACGACGGGUAGCCGGCCUGAGAGGGUGACCGGCCACACGGGGACGGGGAUACGGCCCAGAGUCCUACGGGGGGCAGCAGUGGGGAAUAUUGCACAGUGGGCGCAAGCCUGAUGCAGCGACGCCGCGUGAGGGAUGACGGCCUUCGGGUUGUAAACCGCUUUCAGCACCGACGAAGCGCAAGUGACGGUAGGUGCAGAAGAAGGACCGGCCAACUACGUGCCAGCAGCCGCCGUAA